rnacentral:tRNA from 1 species
AGCCCCGUCAUCUAGUGGUCAAGGAUGGGAGCCUCUGGAGCUCCACACGCCGGUUCGAAUCCGACCGGGGCUA